rnacentral:rRNA from 1 species
GUGAGGAAUAUUGGACAAUGGCCGGAAGGCUGAUCCAGCCAUGCCGCGUGCGGGAAGGCGGCCCUAUGGGUUGUAAACCGCUUUUGCGGGGGAGCAAUAAGGUGCACGCGUGCACCGAUGAGAGUACCCUGCGAAUAAGCAUCGGCUAACUCCGUGCCAGCAGCCGCGGUAAUACGGAGGAUGCAAGCGUUAUCCGGAUUUAUUGGGUUUAAAGGGUGCGUAGGCGGUUUGCUAAGCGGGAGGUGAAAUGCCGGCGCUCAACGUCGGAAGUGCCUCCCGAACUGGUGGACUGGAAUGACUCUGCCGUGGGAGGAAUGUGUAGUGUAGCGGUGAAAUGCUUAGAGAUUACACAGAACACCGAUUGCGAAGGCAUCUCACGAAGGGUUGAUUGACGCUGAGGCACGAAAGCGUGGGGAUCAAACAGG